UUGGCUGCCCGAGUGAGUGUGAGUGUGAGAGCAAGAACAGCCCGCAGGUCCCGAGGCGCUUGCUGGGGACUCUGCCGCGGAAAGUUCCCAGUCCCCAGCCGCAGCUACCCUGGAAAGCAGGAAGAGAACCGAAAGUAAGGCAAACUAAGGCAAGUCAAAUCCCUCAAAAUAUGGGAAAUGUAUCAAGCAAAAUCUAUGAGUGUUUCUGAUGAGAGACACUGAGUGAAGAAAAGUGCUGUCUUAGGGAUCAAUGCUGGAUGGCCCUUCUCACUGCAGCUGCAGACCUUGGAGACAGAGGAAGAUGCAGCAAGGGGUACUGAUGCCUCGUAAGAUGCCUUCGUGAAACUGGUUUUACCUGAGAAAGAGGAGCUGUCAUUCAGCGAGUCGUAGGUGGCAGUGUGCAUGGCAGAGUCCCAUGUGUUACACCACGAGGACAUCCACAUUUUCCCACUUGGUGAGGUCCUUCUACCUAAUUCUCAUUCCUUGUGCACAGAAGAGGACUGGAAAAUUCUCCUCAUAGGACUGC